UGGGGAAUAUUGCACAAUGGGCGAAAGCCUGAUGCAGCAACGCCGCGUGAGUGAUGAAGGUCUUCGGAUUGUAAAGCUCUGUCUUUUGGGACGAUAAUGACGGUACCAAAGGAGGAAGCCACGGCUAACUACGUGCCAGCAGCCGCGGUAAUACGUAGGUGGCGAGCGUUGUCCGGAUUUACUGGGCGUAAAGGGUGCGUAGGCGGAUGUUUAAGUGAGAUGUGAAAUACCCGGGCUUAACUUGGGUGCUGCAUUUCAAACUGGAUAUCUAGAGUGCAGGAGAGGAGAAUGGAAUUCCUAGUGUAGCGGUGAAAUGCGUAGAGAUUAGGAAGAACACCAGUGGCGAAGGCGAUUCUCUGGACUGUAACUGACGCUGAGGCACGAAAGCGUGGGUAGCAAACAGGAUUAGAUACCCUGGUAGUCCACGCCGCAAAACGAUGAGUACUAGGUGUAGGAGGUAUCGACC
rnacentral:rRNA from 1 species